GAUGCAACGCGAAGAACCUUACCUGGUCUUGACAUAUCUAGAAUCCUGCAGAGAUGCGGGAGUGCCUUCGGGAAUUAGAAUACAGGUGCUGCAUGGCUGUCGUCAGCUCGUGUCGUGAGAUGUUGGGUUAAGUCCCGCAACGAGCGCAACCCUUGUCCUUAGUUACCAGCGGUUUGGCCGGGAACUCUAAGGAUACUGCCAGUGACAAACUGGAGGAAGGCGGGGACGACGUCAAGUCAUCAUGGCCCUUACGACCAGGGCUACACACGUGCUACAAUGGUAGGUACAGAGGGCAGCUACACAGCGAUGUGAUGCGAAUCUCAAAAAGCCUAUCGUAGUCCAGAUUGGAGUCUGCAACUCGACUCCAUGAAGUAGGAAUCGCUAGUAAUCGCGGAUCAGAAUGCCGCGGUGAAUACGUUCCCGGGCCUUGUACACACCGCCCGUCACACCAUGGGAGUUGAUUGCACCAGAAGUGGGUAGCCUAACCUUUUAGGAUGGCGCUCACCACGGUGUGGUUGAUGACUGGGGUGAAGUCGUAACAAGGUAGCCGUA
rnacentral:rRNA from 1 species